UUGGCAAUGAUGCUCAUUCAUGAUUGUGUGGGCAGCAUUCUUUGCUUUACGUAGGAAAAGAUUUCCUACUGUACGGAUGCCUGCCUAAAUGUAAGCUAAAUAUAAACACAAAAUGGAGGAACGACUUAAUUAUCUAAUAGCUCUGAUCCAGCACUGUAACAACUUCACUGUGGGAACACUGUCUGUGCUUAUCUUUCUAAUCGUGAUCAGCUCCACUCCCUUCUUUCUUAGAAUGUCUACUUUCACGUGUUGUCUAGUUGGCAGGUGUCCUAUUUGGAGAUCCAUCUCUCCCUGAGGAUGGACAGGAAGAAUAGCCUUAUCUUCGAGGUGGGAUCCACUCCUGACUCUGAUGGGUGAAGCUAGCCCCUUGAUGUCUCCAAUGGAAAACCAUGGCAGAACACAAGCCAAUGACCCCAACAUUCACAUGGGAGAG